rnacentral:rRNA from 1 species
AAACCGUUCAGGGGUAAACCUGAGGAACCCGAAAGAUCGAACGGGGAGAUUCAGAGUCAGCGGCGUUGGCUCGGCGGUGGUCGGCGAUGUCGCCCUGCGACGGCCCUCGCGGUCGUCCCGAGGCGGCACGUCACCGCUCUUCCGUGUCCGGCGUCGUCGUCGUGCACUUCUCCCCUAGUAGAACGUCGCGACCCGUUGGGGUUGCCGGUCUACGGCCCGGGCGAUAGCCUGUCGCGUCGCCUCGCGGCGCACGCGACAGAUCCCCGGUUGCCCGGCCGGCUGCUCGGCGGUAUCGAUCUCGAAAGGUAUCCGGCCGCAGAUCACUCGAAUUGCGUCGGACCCGUCGCAAGCGCGGCCAGCGUUUCCCUGGUGGUUACGGACCCGGCGCCGUCCCCGGGCCUGGUCAGCUGUUGGCAGACGGUGCGCUCCGACGGGCAGGCGAGCGCCUCGCUGCGCUCGCUCGCGGUACCGGUCGGCGACGCUACUGCUUUGGGUACUCUCAGGACCCGUCUUGAAACACGGACCAAGGAGUCUAACAUGUGCGCGAGUCAUUGGGAUUCCGAAUCCUAAAGGCGCAAUGAAAGUGAAGGUCGGCCAUCGCGUCGACCGAGGGAGGAUGGGCCGCGUCGCGACGCGACUCCGCACUCCCGGGGCGUCUCGUUCUCAUCGCGAGGAGAGGCGCACCCAGAGCGUACACGUUGGGACCCGAAAGAUGGUGAACUAUGCCUGGUCAGGACGAAGUCAGGGGAAACCCUGAUGGAGGUCCGUAGCGAUUCUGACGUGCAAAUCGAUCGUCGGAACUGGGUAUAGGGGCGAAAGACUAAUCGA